UUUGUUGAAAAGAAAAAAAACACGUCCCACGCCCCAUAUUCCUCACCCGUUCGCUCCUGAUCCUCUAUCCCGAAAAUAAUUCGCCACCGCCUAUGCUCGCCGCCUUGCCCCCAAGCAUCACCUUGCCGGCCUAGAUCUCGACCCGCCGCCGGUCCCCACCAAGUAGAAGCACCCAGAGGCCAUCCGCCCCAACCGCCAACAUAUGCCGCAACCCGACGUCGCCCAACCGGAGUGCCGUCGCACCAGCUCGCCAUAGCACCAAGCGCAUCCCCUACCGCAGAUGUCGGGGCUAGCCGCCACCCCUGCCAAUCGCGUAUGGGCAGGUGCGGGCUAACGCCCCCUCCCGGACUCGACCUUCCCCGUGCCCUUGCUUCCAGUCCCCAAAUCCAGGAGAGAUAGCGGGGGCACGGCCCAAGAUCGACAGGUUACCAGCAGAAGCUGCCCACGCCAGGAAGAAACUGCAAGAAGUGCACUUGCUGCUGUUGCGUUGGACUAGCUGGUGUUGCGUUGGAAGGAAGACGAAUGUGAGCAGGAAGAUGAGGUAGACAUUCUACGUGAUGGUAGCGAAUCAGAAGCUCGCUGUAUCCGGCAAGAACAGCUUCAACAUCUCACAUCAUCAAGUAGGUGUGACUAUCCUCUGUACGGAACUUGCCAAAAAGUCAUUAUAUGUACUCUUGUCAUAGUGCAAAACUAAAUGACAUGCAAGAACGACUGUUUGUUAGAAUAGUUACUAUUGUACUCCCUCCAUUUCUAAAUAUAAGUCGUUUUAGAGAUUCCGAUAUGGGCUACAUACGGUUGUAUAUGGGCAUAUGUUAGAGUGCAGAUUGACUCAUUUUGCUCCAUAUGUAGUCCAUAUCUCUAAAAGGUCAUAUAUUUAGGAACGGAGGUAGUAUUACGUUGCUACCUAUGAAAAAUUGAAAAUUGAAAGGAGGAGCUUUGAUGAUGAGAUAAAUUAACCAAACCAAAUAAAGAACUACACGUUAUACACUGAAAUGGUGAGUUGUGCAGCUUUUAAACACAUGCCAAUCAAAACUAUCAAACCCUACAACCUACUGGCCAAUCUCUAUUUUUAUCUAUUCCAUCAUUAGUUUUUGACCUGGUCGACCUCCAUUGUCACCUGCUGAUUUGUCACUCAGUAGGCUGAAUGCAGAGACCAAGAGGGCACAUAAUUGGAGCUACAGAAAGCUCUGGCAGCGUAUUUUUCCUAACAUUAACUAGGGACUGGAUGCAUAGAGGGUUGAAGCCUGUAGAUGAAGCAUGUGUGCUGCUUAGUCCAGCUGCACAUGGCGAAGGUGUUCCUUGAUUGGUAAGUAAGUUAACUUACCACCAACGAUGGUAGUGUUUACUAGGUUGUGUUAACCUAACACAGAAGAUGGAGCUUUUACUGUUUGUGAAAUAUUUGAAUGCCAAUUUGAAUGAAGACCAUUUACAAAGUUUAUAUGUCUUUUAUUCUUCUAAUAUAAAACUUCGUUUAAUGGAUUAUGAUGUCCUUGUUCAAUUACUUAAUUUACAUUAACACUGGACCUGCAAGGAA